GCUCGCUCCUCCCACUUCCCCCGCUGUCCUCAGUUGAAUUGUAAACUCCCGGCGCGCGGAGUGCAGGCUAGGUUUUGAAGUACCGCGUGGGGAGGGAGCCCUAGAAUUUUAGCUUAGUGACUACGCUGUGAGGGCACGUCGGUAGGCACUUCACGGCUGGUUAUGUAGGUGAUUUAUGGCAUGUGAAGAUGAUAGGUUAGUACCCUUGCAGACCUCUGGGCUUGAUUUAACUCAGCUGAAGACUGGGUGCCCUAAAGCAGAGGAGGGCUCAAGGUCCUGGGAGCUGUUCCUUCAUCCAAAUGGCAAUUAAAGUAAGAGUGGAGGAGUUUGAAUAGAUAGUAGAAGGCCAACAAGGAAGCCUUCAACGUCUUCUGUGGAACGAGUUGCUCUGGAGACCCAAGUUCUCAGGAGUUAUAAAUGAGGAUACCUCUUUGCGAAGGAGGCCAGAUGUCUAAGAAGAAAUAUGGGAUAUGCCGAUGCUUCCUGCCUAAAAUGACUUGUUAUUUCAAUAUCAUAAUCUCCACAUCUACUGGAAGAGGGAUGCCAGGCCACAACAGGGGAGAAGCUCCAACCUUGGCUUUCCCAAGGAGCAGCAAAUGGGCAAGUGAUUCAAGAUCUUUUUUUUUUUUUUUUUAAGGGUGUGGGGUGAGAGACAGGGGAGAGGGGCAGAGAGAAUCUUAAGCAGGCAUGGAGCCUGACUUGGGGCUCCAUCUCACAACUCUGGGAUUGAUCUGAACCGAAAUCAAGAGUUGGAUGCUUAACCAACUGAGCUGCCUGGUGCCCCAAAAUUCAAAGUCUUAAUCUGGCUAUCAGUUUCCUGAUCUGUAAAAUGAAAAAGAGAAAUCUGCUUCCUUGUCUUUGUGUUUCUCUGUCUUCCACUAUCCUAUAACCUCAUAAGUUUAUUAGGUCCAUUUAAUCCCUGAACUCUCUUG
rnacentral:lncRNA from 1 species